GCUGGAGCUGCUACGGUGGGGGGAUGGUCGUCCGGUCUUUAAUCCUCUUGGCAGAUCUGAUGGUGUCGGUGCUGGUGCUGUUGCCGAGGGAGGGAGAUGCUGGAGACGGCGCCUGUUUUGGUCGUUGAUGGUGGAGGCGCCUGCUGCUGUCGUUGUUUCUGUCACCGGCGGUGGAAGGUUUGAGGAAAAAAAAAAGGAACGGCCGGCUGAAGGGAGAAGUCAGGGGGGAGCUGCAGUGUAGAGAGAAAAAUUCAACAUGGGGGCUGCUGCUUGGCCUGUUUUGAAAGGAAGAAAAAAAACGUUAAGAGCCCCGGGGCUCUCUGUUUUUU
rnacentral:lncRNA from 1 species